UAUAGGGAGGGACUUAUGUCACCAUAAACAGAAACUAAAGCAGGUGUUGGAUUUAAAGCUGGUGUUAAAGAUUAUAAAUUGACUUACUACACCCCAGAGUAUGAAACUAAGGAUACUGAUAUCUUGGCAGCAUUCCGAGUAAGUCCUCAGCCUGGGGUUCCGCCCGAAGAAGCAGGGGCUACAGUAGCUGCCGAAUCUUCUACUGGUACAUGGACAACUGUUUGGACUGAUGGACUUACCAGUCUUGAUCGUUACAAAGGACGAUGCUAUCACAUCGAGCCUGUUGCUGGGGAAGACAGCCAAUGGAUCUGUUAUGUAGCUUAUCCAUUAGACCUAUUUGAAGAGGGUUCCGUUACUAACAUGUUUACUUCCAUUGUAGGUAACGUAUUUGGUUUCAAAGCCCUACGUGCUCUACGUUUGGAGGAUCUACGAAUUCCCCCUACUUAUUCAAAAACUUUCCAAGGCCCGCCUCAUGGUAUCCAAGUUGAAAGAGAUAAGUUGAACAAGUAUGGUCGUCCUUUAUUGUGAUGUACUAUUAAAACAAAAUUGGGAUUAUCCGCAAAAAAUUAUGGUAGAGCGUGUUAUGAGUGUCUACAUGGUGGACUUGAUUUUACCAAAGAUGAUGAAAACGUAAACUCACAACCAUUUAUGCGCUGGAGAGACCGUUUUGUCUUUUGUGCCGAAGCUAUUUAUAAAUCACAGGCCGAAACCGGUGAAAUCAAGGGGCAUUACUUGAAUGCGACUGCGGGUACAUGUGAAGAAUGAUUAAGAGAGCUGUAUUUGCAAGAGAAUUAGGGGUUCCUAUUGUAAUGCAUGACUACUUAAUUGGGGGAUUCACCGCAAAUACUACUUUGGCUCAUUAUUGCCGCGACACUGGCCUACUUCUUCACAUUCACCAUGCAAUGCAUGCAGUUAUUGAUAGACAGAAAAAUCAUGGUAUGCAUUUCCGUGUAUUAGCUAAAGCAUUGCGUAUGUCUGGGGGAGAUCAUAUCCACUCUGGUACAGUAGUAGGUAAGUUAGAAGGGGAACGCAAAAUGACUUUAGGUUUUGUUGAUUUAUUGCGCGAUGAUUUUAUUGAAAAAGAUCAUGCUCGCGGUAUCUUUUUCACUCAGGACUGGGUAUCCAUGCCAGGUGUUAUACCGGUAGCUUCAGGUGGUAUUGAUGUUUGGCAUAUGCCAGCUCUGACCGAAAUCUUUGGGGACGAUUCUGUAUUACAAUUUGGUGGAGGAACUUUAGGACAUCCUUGGGGAAAUGCACCUAGUGCAGCAGCUAAUCGAGUGGCUUUAGAAGCCUGUGUACAAGCUCGUAACGCAGGGCGCGAUCUUGCUCGCGAAGGUAAUGAAAUUAUCUGAGCAGCUUGCAAAUGGAGUCUUGAACUAGCCGCAGCUUGUGAAGUAUGGAAGGCGAUCAAAUUCGAGUUCGAGC